rnacentral:rRNA from 1 species
GUCCACGCCCUAAACGAUGGAUACUAGUCGUCGGAUUUCCUAAUAGAUUCGGUGACGUAGCUAACGCAUUAAGUAUCCCGCCUGGGGAUUACGGUCGCAAGAUUAAAACUCAAAGGAAUUGACGGGGCCCGCACAAGUGGUGGAGCAUGUGGUUUAAUUCGAUGCUACGCGAAGAACCUUACCCAGACUUGACAUCCCGGGCUAUCCUAGGAAACUAGGAGUUCCCUUUAGGGACCCGGUGACAGGUGCUGCAUGGCUGUCGU